UGGUCUAAGCCACGCCCUUUCUGGUCAUGACCAUGCCCAUAUUUGCGCUAAGCCACGCCCCUUUUGGUCAUGACCACGCCCCCCGGCACGCACGUGGCGGCUCGGAGCUGGGGGCUGCCCGUCGGUGGUCGGAUCUUUGACUCUUUGUUUUCCGACCCCUCGCUCCGGGGGGGGGGGGCUAAAAAAAAUCGAGGCAACGCUGUGAGUGGUUGUGGGAAAGGCAGGCAGUGCGUAGGAAACGACCUCGAUUUCUCUCCUGUAAGCGUUCUUGGCAAUAACUUUCAUAUUCAAACUUGAAUGCGUCAAAUGAGAAGAGAAGCAGCUGCCUUUGGGCGCUGUUCCAUCCUCGGCUCCAUCGCUCCUGAGAGGGUGGGGAGGAAGGGAAAGCCUCAGGGCAGGAACCUGGCUCUGGGCUGCAGGGAAUGCGAGCACCAAGGGGACCCUCCUGCAGUACACCCCCAUUACAGCCCAAAGAGGGGGAGGGAAAGAAAGCCUGAAAGCUUGAGCCCCAUAGGAACAGCAGCACAGAGGGGAUGUACAGCACAGCACGAUCCAGUCCUGGUGCCUGCUUCAGGUCUGAUGCUGAUGGGAAAGCUCCCAGCCAAACACACCUCAUGGGUGCACAGGGGACAGCUGUAGCAUCACGCAAUGCGCUGCUUCAAGUUCCACUCAAGUAAGUGAGGUUGGGUUGUGCUCAUGGAAGCGGUGUCAUACAGCCAACAGCACAUGGCUGGGAAUGGUUCCUCACAGCUGGGAAAAAAUACAAAGAAUGCGGUGCCAGCUCAGUGCUGUGCCAAAAAAGAAAGUCAUUUUGUUGGACAGAAAUGAAGUCGGUUGCAAAAAGCAAUGGAAAAAAUCAGAGCGGGAGAGAAAUGGAGGUAACCCAACCCUCAGCGGGGUCAGGAGGCUGGCAAGAACCUCACACGCCACAGUGACACAUAGCACACGUUCACAGACUGAAAAACAACCCCACACUUCUGCCCUGUACUAAUGAGAAACUGAAGGGCUUUAUGUACACGUUGUGUAAGGCACGAUGAGUUCAGAUAUAGUCCCAACAAAGGUCAGACCACAUUGCAACCACCAUUAAAAAGGCAAUACUGGUAACACAGAGAACAGAUCUGGAAAUGAAUUCAUCCUGCAUUAAUACCACCAAGAACUGCAUCUCCGUACAUGGGGGGGAUGGCAGCAAUACCCCGGGUUUUCCUUUCUGAAACACCAGACAACAGAAGUGGGAAAUGCUCAGGGAAGUGCAGGAACUGAAAUCUGGCCUCAUUAAAGGUAUCUGAUUGGGUUUUGCUGCCAUAAAGGUGGGAAUGCUGAGGCUGACGCUGCCCUCAGGUCACUCUGUCAGGUUAAUGCUUUGAUUACCAGCCCUCCAUUUAUGCACCACUUGCACACUCUGCUCUUUAGGUCCCAGCUCAGGCACAGCCCUGGUUUGUUUGGGUGUUUGGGCAUCCCACACUGCAGGGUUGGGACAGCUGGGGAUGUGAUGUGCCGGAGCUGAAGCAGGACAUGGGGUACAGGACAGCUGCUCCUCACUGGCAGCAGGUGCACUGUGCUGGGACAAACACAGACGGAGCUCAAAGCAGACAGAAUUGCAGCGAUGACAGGUAACAGCCUAAAUCACUGCGUGCUGCAAUAGGGCGCGUGAGCUCAGCCAUUCAUCACCACCUGACAGGAUGUAAAUAUGUCUGUCUGGGGUCGGAGUGCUUCCCAGGCUGCUCUAUGAACUGCAGUUUGCUGUGGGGGCAGGGCAGUGCUCACCUAAGCAUCAGUUUCCCUCUUAAAAGACACAGUGAACAUCAUCUAUUACCAUCAUGCUUCUGGAAAUGUAUUCCAAUGGGUAAGAAGGGCCUGGUAUCACUUUAAGUUCACUUGAAAUGAAUGCAGGCACUCAAUGCAAAAGCAAUGGAUGUUUUUUUUGUCCUCCAACACAGGAAGAAGAACCAACGGAAGAUGCUAUAACCAUAACCCGAUGUGGUACCUGAUUUAGUGGGUGUCAGCCCUGCCCUCAGUGGGGGUUGGGAGUGGAUGAGCUUUGAGGUCCCUUCCAACCCAAAUCAUUCUGUGAUUCUAUGACUGGCUGUGUAAAGAGAACAGUGGGAUGUUAUCAGAUGUAGGAAUUUUGGCCUAGAUCUAUCAGCACCAGUGGAAGAGAUAAGGGAAAGCAGAACCUGGCUCCACAUUUUCAGGCUAGGAAGAAAGCUCCCACACAGCUGCACUAGAAAACCUCCCCCACCACAUCCUCUCUCCAGUGGGAAAUGAGCUGGCUUGGCGUCAGGGCCAAUGGGGAAUGAAGGUCUUAAGAGAUGUCUUGUAGGAACACAGUGCCACAUUCCAUCUGUUUGAGGGCCAGAGGAUGUAAUGCCCCUCCUGUGCUGCCAUUCAGCAGAACCUGUGCAGGUUGAGAGCUGGGCAGAGAGGAACCUGAUGAGGUUCAACAAAUACAAGUGGAGGGUCCUAUACCUGGGGAGGAAUAACUGCACCCAGCAGUACAGGCUGAGGGCUGAGCUGCUGGAAAAGGAGCUCUGCAGAGGAGCAGGUUAGCCAUGAGCCAGCAGUGUGCCUCUGUAGACAAGAAUGGUACCAGGAUGAUUUAACCAUAAAUCACUGCAGUAAAUCUAUGGGUAAGAGACCCAUCCCUCAAGCAGCAGCUCCUGAACGAGGCUCCUGCUGCAGACCCACUUCAGGGGGAGGAGUGGAGCAGUGAGAAGGGUGCUGGAUGCUUUCAGCACGAGAGAGAGACAGCUGUGUUAUCUGGUCUAAUUUAUCAGGAAAACACGAAGCCAUUACAGUAGCAGUGGUCAUAAACAAGCUGAUGCACGCAGGGCAGAACCAGAUACUGGGGAAGAAACGAAGCUUUCCCAGUGGUAAAGGCACGCCACCCACCAGGCACAUGGCAGCUGUGUUCUACACAGCAGGGAAAUCUAGCAAAGUAAUUAGAAAAGAGGCUGUAUCUGGUUAAAAGUAAAUAUAAAUACAUAAAAAAAAAGGAGUGGGGAGGCAAGAAGAGGGAAACCAUGCAAAACUCUGCCCUAAUCCUGAAGAACCAGUCAGAACAGGAAGCCACGCUCUGAAUUUGGUUAUUUAAGCUGUCAAAGAGUGUUUCUGUUUUCAGCUCUUGUGCAAAGAAUCAGACAGGAGCAGAGGUAGGGUGAUAAGCAUCAAGAGGAACAGACCUUGCUUUUAGAGCCCGUUUGGUCAGCUGCCCAUCGUGAUCAAUGAUCGGGCUUCUCAGGAGUCUUCCUCAGCAUUGACUCCUCUCCCCUGGAGCACCUGGCUUGUGCUUGGCAGGAGACAGAAACACGUCUGGAAUCCCGGUCAGCCGCUCCUUCACCGUCCUCUAAAGCAGCAGCACAAGUGCAUGGGGCAGCUGCCCUGGGUGAGCAGACCCACUUGGUAGCUAAAGGAUCUGACCCUCCUUCAUUCCUUCCACCUCCUAGUCCUUGCUCCUCAUUCUCCUCCGCUCACACACUCUGAAUAAUAAAUCAAUAAACUUUCCACAGGCCUUCACACUUUGCACACGCUCCCUGCUACAGCAGAAUAUCUUUACCUUGUAACCUCGUUGUGAUUUGGCAGUGUAACAGCUAAUGCUGAUUUGCUUGUUCAGCUGUGAGGAUCAAGUCAUGUCACUGCUCACUGUGAAUCACAGGCACGUCAUUGGACUGGACCAAACUCAGUGCAAUCACAGAAGGCUGCAGGUAGUUAUUACCAACCUAACCAGAGAAUCAUUCAAGUUGGAGUGGACACUUAAAGAUCACCUGGUCCAACUCCCCUGCAGUGCACAGGGACACCCACAGCUCCAUCAGUGCUCAGAGCCCCUCCAGCCUGACCUUGGCUGUCUGCAGGGAUGGGGCACCAUCCCCUCCCUGGGCAAUACAUCCCAAUGCUUCUUCCUUAUAUCCGAUCUAAAUCUUUUCUUGUUAAGCUUGAAAUCAGACCCUGUUAAAGAGUCUGUCCCCUUCUUUCUUACAGCCCCUCUUUAAAAACUGAAAGGCUGCUAAUGGGUCUCCCCAUGAAUAAACCUGAUUUUACCACCAGUGCUCUACCUUCGCUCACAGUUUGCUGUCAGAACACCCAGCACUGAAAAUAAAGACUUGCAUGAACUUU